AUAACACGCCUGCCUUUGGGGCUGCGGCACGCCCGAGGCAAGGGCUGUGCUGCAAGGGCUGUGCUACACGGGCAAGAGCAGACGAUGCGGUGGCUUACGGGGCCUGACGGAGAAUGUUUGAGACGGGAGGCGCAAUGGGAGUUAGCCGAGGGGUGCAGAAGGUCAUCGCCAAGUGGUGUCUCAGAUGCGGCCUGUGAAAACAUCAGUUUUGCUGCCACAUUCAUUAGAAAGUCAUAUGAUGUCAGAAGAGUUGAAAUCACUCCCCUGGAGCAGAGGAAGGUAACUUUUGAUACCCAUGCUUUAGUGCAGGAUCUGGAAGCCCACGGCUUUGGGAAGGAGCAGGCGGAGACCAUCGUAUCAGCAUUAAUAACCCUGUCGAAUGUCAGCUUAGACACAGUCUAUAAGGAUAUGGUUACACAGGCUCAGCAGGAAAUAACUUUACAGCAGAUAAUGGCGCAUUUGGACUCCAUUCGAAAAGAUAUGGUUAUCCUGGAGAAAAGUGAAUUUGCAAACUUGAGAGCAGAGAAUGAGAAAAUGAAAAUUGAAUUGGAUCAAGUUAAACAGCAGCUAAUGAAUGAAACCAGUAAAAUCCGAGCUGACAGCAAGCUAGACAUAAACCUGGAAAGGAGCAGAGUGACGGACAUGUUUACAGAUCAGGAGAGGAAACUGAUGGAAGCAACUACAGAGUUUCAUAAAAAAGAUUCAAGUACCAACAGUGUUAUCUCGGAAAUCAGUAACAAAAUUGACACUGAAAUAGCUUCCUUAAAAACACUCAUGGAAUCCAAUAAACUUGAUACAAUACGUUACUUGGCAGCUUCGGUAUUCACUUGCUUGGCAAUAGCGCUGGGAUUUUACAGGUUCUGGAAAUAGAUCUGACUGGAAUGACUGCGUGAAAUACAAAUGGAGGAAAGGACACCCAGGCAACAUCAGCCAGACGAUCACGUGUGCGCUGUAGAUAACCUUGGCAUGGAGGAGAGAUCAGGAUUGCUGUCCCUAACUGCACCAGGCCUCAUAACCUAGAGAACUCCUCAGCCCUGGGUUAGACUCCGUGGCCCGCUGCUGCAGCCCCUCGUGGUGGUGUUCAGCCCCUCGUGAGGGAGUAGCUUCCUGGCUUACUUAGGAAUCACUUGAAGAUGAAAAUCACAGGGCCCAGCAUCUCUCUGCAGCUGAGAAGCACUUCUCCCAGACCCGUGUUCUGGUUCCACUCUGAAGGUCCCAUCUGAUUAUUUUAGGAGGUAAGGUGCUUCCCCCACCCUCCUAAGGCAGCGCUACUGUCCUGGUUUCAGCUGGGAUAGAAUUGAUUUUCUUCCUAGUAGCUGGCACAGUGCUGUGGUUUGGA